GUAUAGGAAUCGGAUGCAUCGGGAUUUAAACUACUUGACUGUUUUUGCACUAAAGGAAAUGAGGAUCAUAGCUCACUGAGGUUUUCUUUUAAGACAUGGCUCCAGUAUGUGGGUCAUUAGUGAUUGAGUUUUUUCCUACCUGCCUUAUAACUCACCAUUACCGAAUGACAAGGGGUCGUUGCUGAAUGAUGAGGGGUACUUAGCCACAAAAAUACACACAAAGCUUAAGGUGAAACGGUAUGCCUCUCAUAAUAUUUUUAUCUUUGGCUAGCUAUCUUGUUGAAAAUGUUCAUGUUGGACAGCGGUGAGUAUUUUGUUUAAGACACUGGAGAGUGAAGAGUGGAGAAUGCUU
rnacentral:lncRNA from 1 species